ACUACAGAGUGAAAGAGAGGAAAGGAGUCGAUGUCAAUAGCUGUAAAAGAAGGACCAAAAAAACACCAUUAAAUACUCACUCACUCCCUCUACUAUAGCACAGUGAAAGCAAUAGACAUUAAAUUCAUAUGGAUCCAGAGAGAAUCACGAGCUGGGCUAUAAUAUCUCUACUCCAAACAUGCACGCCUAGCUCGUGCCAGCCAACCUUUUUUUGUCAAUUUCUACGUCUGCAUCUAUAUAUCUAUCUAUCUAUCAUAUAUGUAUUCUUUGAAGAUCUAUCAUCAUGAAUGUUUCUUCAUUCAUUCACAAGUAUGUAUGUUAUGUUGGUUUGAGAGGCUGAAGCUGCCAGCAUGAUCUGGUAAUUAAUUAACCACACACUCUUAAUUUUUAGGGAUGUAUAUAUAUACAUAUAUAUUUUUAAUCUUGUAUAUUUUUAAUAUUCGAUUUAUAUAUGAAUCAAAUUGUUAUUAAGAAAGAAAAAAAAAAUUAUUGGCUGGAUUUGUUUUUGUCUUUCUUUUUACAAAUUGGUUGGGUUUCUUGUAAUGUAAAUAAUUUCUUAUUCUUACUUAAGUGGUCUUCCUAAGCUAGCCAAGUAAAGGGACAUUGUUUGGAAUUGCUUAGGCUUUGUUUAAAGAGAAGUAUAAUAGAUUUCAAAAUCUCUAAAACCCUAAAAAGCUCUUCUUUAAUUCGAUACAUUUUUUGAGUUCUCUCAUAUUGAAGAAAUUUUAGUCCAAUAAAAAACCUUUAGAGGAUGAACAAUUCUUUCCCAUUAGUCAUUCUUUUAUUUUCAAAGAUUUUCCUUUUCUUUCCUCCAAACUCUCACAUAAGAAGGUACCCAAUUUUUGUUAUAAGAUUAAGAUGUGGUUCCAUCAGGUCAUCUUGCAGCUUCAAUCACUCAAAUACCAACAUAUAAUUAACUAGCUCCAGUACUUCGGGACAACAUCUCAAUUUCAUUUUCGCAGGUACAUUCAAAGCAAGGGCAUAUAUGGACUAUAUAUUUUGUGCAAUUCCUUUGUCCUUCUUCAUUUGUAUGCCUUCAAUUUUGUUUAGUUUUUUUUGGUGUUAUAUGCUUCUAAUCGAUUGUUUAGUAUCUAAGUAAGCUAACGUGAUUCUAUCAAACUCAUUGUGAUAUAAUUUUAUUUUCCUACUUAAGAUGAUAAUUUUACUACUCUUAUGUUUAGGAUGUAAAUAUUAUAGGGCUAAAAUAUGAUUUUGAUCCCUGCAAAUAUAGCGAAUUUAGGUUUUAGUUCCUGAUAAAAAAAAUUUGAAAUCCCUGCAAAAAAUUUUAUUUUUUAAAAUAGUCAUUGGGUCCACUUUUUUGCUGAUUUGUCACAUUUUUGCUUAUGUGGUCCUUGCUGACUGUGCAAAAACAUACACAUGGAACACAAGUUACAAUUGUUUUAAUUAAAAUUAAAUUUAGUUUCCAAAAAAAAAAGGUUUAAUUAAAAAUAUUAGAGAGUCGGCAAACCACAGCCAUAACCACCACCUUCGACAGGUUCACAACCACUGCCAAAAUCACCACCGCCUCUACCACCAUAACCACCUCCACAAUCUAAAGCAAUAAAUCCAAUUUUUUACUCAAACCAAUUCUUCUCAAAUUGAUUCAACACAAACAGAAGAAGAAAAACAAGCAAGAAUUGAUUCAAGGCAAUCAAAAUUUAUCCCAAAUUGAUUCAACACAUCACAGAAGCUAGAAUUGUUUGUCAACGAACAAAAACAACAAAACAGCAGAAAAUCAGAGAAACAUGAAGCACACAAGCGCACGGCAACGACCACGAUGGAUUGAUAUGAAAAGGAGAUAAAAAAUCGAAAAUGAUAGAGGCCUACUUGAUUGCGGCGGCGGCCGCAUAUCACAAGGAGGCGGAUCCAAAUAAUAAAACAAGAGGGAUUUGGAUGGAUAUCGAUCUGAAUUUCGACCAUGCCGUUUUCCCAUAAUUUUGUUUUCUAGAAAUUCGAUUUGAAGAAAAUGAAUUGAUGAAUGAUUGAAUGGAACAACAAAGAAGAAGAAGGGGAGGAAGGAAAAGCAGAGAUAUGCGAAGAGAAGAAUAAGAAGGAGGAGGAACAACAAACAUGUAGGUUUGGGAUGAAUUUGCUGUGUUAAAUUGAGUUUAGCUUGAAGAAGAAAGGUUGAAGCUUGGAUUGGUGUAGUUUUGAGGAAGAUGGAUGUGUGUGUUAGAAAUGUAGAUCCAGAUUUAUGAAUUAAAAUUUAGGGAUGAACAUGAAUUAAUUUGUUGAUGAAGAUGAAUGUUGUUUGAAAUUAAAA